CUCAUGAUGGGGCGGCAGGUAGCCUAGUGGUUAGAGUGUAGGGGCGGCAGGUAGCCUAGUGGUUAGAGUGUAGAGGCGGCAGGUAGCCUAGUGGUUAGAGUGUAGGGGCGGCAGGUAGCCUAGUGGUUAGAGUGUAGGGGCGGCAGGUAGCCUAGUGGUUAGAGUGUAGGGGGGCAGGUAGCCUAGUGGUUAGAGUGUAGGGGCGGCAGGUAGCCUAGUGGUUAGAGUGUAGAGGCGGCAGGUAGCCUAGUGGUUAGAGUGUAGGGGCGGCAGGUAGCCUAGUGGUUAGAGUGUAGGGGCGGCAGGUAGCCUAGUGGUUAGAGUGUAGGGGUGGCAGGUAGCCUAGUGGUUAGAGUGUAGGGGUGGCAGGUAGCCUAGUGGUUAGAGUGUAGGGGUGGCAGGUAGCCUAGUGGUUAGAGUGUAGGGGUGGCAGGUAGCCUAGUGGUUAGAGUGUAGGGGUGGCAGGUAGCCUAGUGGUUAGAGUGUAGGGGUGGCAGGUAGUCUAGUGGUUAGAGUGUAGGGGCGGCAGGUAGCCUAGUGGUUAGAGUGUAGGGGCGGCAGGUAGCCUAGUGGUUAGAGUGUAGGGGCGGUAGGUAGCCUAGUGGUUAGAGUGUAGGGGCGGCAGGUAGCCUAGUGGUUAGAGUGUAGGGGCGGCAGGUAGCCUAGUGGUUAGAGUGUAGGGGCGGCAGGUAGCCUAGUGGUUAGAGUGUAGGGGCGGCAGGUAGCCUAGUGGUUAGAGUGUAGGGGCGGCAGGUAGCCUAGUGGUUAGAGUGUAGGGGGG